rnacentral:rRNA from 1 species
UGGGGAAUAUUGGACAAUGGGGGAAACCCUGAUCCAGCAAUACCGCGUGAGUGAAGAAGGCCUUCGGGUUGUAAAGCUCUUUCGCCUGUGAAGAUAAUGACGGUAACAGGAUAAGAAGUCCCGGCUAACUCCGUGCCAGCAGCCGCGGUAAGACGGAGGGGACUAGCGUUGUUCGGAAUGACUGGGCGUAAAGGGUGCGUAGGCGGCUCUUUAAGUAAGGCGUGAAAGCCCUGAGCUUAACUCGGGAAUUGCGCUUUAAACUGAAGGGCUUGAGGGCAAAAGAGGAAAGAGGAAUUCCUAGUGUAGGGGUGAAAUCCGUAGAUAUUAGGAAGAACACCAGAGGCGAAGGCGUCUUUCUGGUUUGUCACUGACGCUGAGGCACGAUAGCGUGGGGAGCGAAAAGG